AUUUUGCAUGAAAGGAGAGAAGAUUUUCACUCCCCUAGACAAGGAUGGAAGUGGUUCUUGGGCUUGACAACACUCAUGCUGCUAAGACAUUCCAGGUGACAUGGCAUCUAGUGUCA
ensembl:snRNA